rnacentral:rRNA from 1 species
UACAGAGGUCUCGAGCGUUGUUCGGAUUCAUUGGGCGUAAAGGGUGCGUAGGUGGCGCUGUAAGUCGGGUGUGAAAUCCUGGGGCUUAACCCCAGAACUGCAUUCGAUACUGCAGUGCUUGAGGACUGGAGAGGAGACUGGAAUUCAUGGUGUAGCAGUGAAAUGCGUAGAGAUCAUGAGGAACACCAGUGGCGAAGGCGACUUCCUGGCCUGUUCUUGACGCUGAGGCGCGAAAGCUAGGGUAGCAAACGGGA